GACGAACGCUGGCGGCGUGCCUAACACAUGCAAGUCGAACGGGGUAAUCCUUCGGGAUUACUUAGUGGCGAACGGGUGAGUAACGCGUGAGGAACCUGCCUUUCAGUGGGGGACAACAGUUGGAAACGACUGCUAAUACCGCAUGAUACUUCUGGGGGACAUCCCCUGGAAGUCAAAGCUUUAUGUGCUGAAAGAUGGCCUCGCGUCUGAUUAGCUAGUUGGUGGGGUAACGGCCCACCAAGGCGACGAUCAGUAGCCGGACUGAGAGGUUGACCGGCCACAUUGGGACUGAGAUACGGCCCAG
rnacentral:rRNA from 1 species